rnacentral:rRNA from 1 species
AUGCAGAGGCGGCUUAUUGGACGUGCAACUGACAUUCACAUUAGGCCCCUGAAUGAAGAGAAAGCUACUCAAGCUGCUACAGAUCUUCUUGGUGAACUGUUCAUUUUCUCGAUGAUUACAACUGACAUUGACUCCCACAGAAGUGGCAACUCAGAAGCCAGAAAAGAAGAGGCCCGUAAUAAGGCACUGGAGGAAAUAAAGGAGAAGAUGGAGGAGCUCGAGAGGGAAAAGCAAAUGAUGAAGCUGAGAGUGGCCGAGGUGGAGCGGGUAACCGGGGCAGGGAGAGGGUGGCCGUGGGUUCUUCCAAGGGCCUUCACUUCCGGCGUUGCCCAGGCAGAGCCAGAGCCAGAGCCAGCAGCUCAGCAGCCCACGGCUGCUUAG